rnacentral:rRNA from 1 species
GGAAGGUGCAAGCGUUAAUCGGAAUUACUGGGCGUAAAGCGCGCGUAGGCGGCUAGAUAAGUCGGGUGUGAAAGCCCCGGGCUCAACCUGGGAACUGCAUUCGAUACUGUCUGGCUAGAGUGUGAUAGGGGGAGGCGGAAUUCCGCAUGUAGCGGUGAAAUGCGUAGAGAUGCGGAGGAACACCAAUGGCGAAGGCAGCCUCCUGGAUUAACACUGACGCUGAGGUGCGAAAGCGUGGGGGGAGCAAACAGGAUUAGAUACCCUGGUAGUCCACGCCCGUAAACCGAUGUCAACUAGCCGUUGGGAGCAAUUUGGCUCUUGGUGGCGCAGCUAACGCGAUAAGUUGACCGCCUGGGGAGUACGGUCGCAAGAUUA